GAUGAACGCUGGCGGCGUGCCUAAUACAUGCAAGUCGAACGAAGAUCUAGCUUGCUAGAUCUUAGUGGCGAACGGGUGAGUAAUACAUAAAUAAUCUGCCCAUAUGACUGGGAUAACUAUUGGAAACGAUAGCUAAUACCGGAAAGGUUGACUGGAGGCAUCUCUGAUUAAUUAAAGUAGGAUUUCUACACAAAUGGAUGAGUUUAUGGCGCAUUAGUUAGUUGGUGGGGUAACGGUCUACCAAGACGAUGAUGCGUAGCCGACCUGCGAGGGUGACCGGCCACACGGGGACUGAGACACGGCCCGGACUCCUACGGGAGGCAGCAGUAGGGAAUUUUCGGCAAUGGGCGCAAGCCUGACCGAGCAACGCCGCGUGAGUGAUUAAGGCCUUCGGGUUGUAAAGCUCUGUUGUAAGGGAAGAACAUUCAGGAUAGGCAAUGAUCUUGAACUGACGGUACCUUACCAGAAAGCCACGGCUAACUACGUGCCAGCAGCCGCCGUAA
rnacentral:rRNA from 1 species